UGAUCUUUAGGCAAGUUUUCCGUGUUAGAUCACAGACAAAAUAUCACACUGUGCCCCUGGGAGAACUCUAGUUGUCUAGGCCUCUGUAGAUUUACAUGGUUCCUAAGAGAGUAGGGGACAAACUCACCUGUACCUGGCGCUCCUAAUAAGUGAAUGUCAACCUUUUGGCCAUGUCUUCUCUGUUGUUCUGACAAAAUACCCUGACAGAGCAAUAUGAGGUAGAAAGCUUGGCUUAGCUCACCUUUCAGGAAUAGAGUUCAUUGAGACAAGGAGGUCAAGGCAGCAGAAGCCUAAGAAGCUGCUUACCCCGAAUCCACAGUCAGGAACCAACGCAGAUUGCACGGUGCUUCUCAGCCCCUUCCCCACUUAGGCAGUCCAGGAUCCCAGCCAGGGAAUGGAGCUGCCCACUGUGGGCAAGACUUCUCAACGCACAUAACCAAGUCUCUCUUAAGGAAAUGUCCAAACGUCUUCCGCUGUCCAAGAAAUGAAGGGUACUGUCCGCUCGUUGUGCUUGGAGAUGGGAUUCAUCUCAGUAGAAGUCUUAGUCAAAGAAAAGCAGGGUGUUUUCUUAUCAACCCCAAGGUCCGUAACUGAUUUCUCUGUGGUUUAUUCUUCUGCUCUCACUCCUUCCUUAGCGCUCAGUGAUGCUCUCGAUGGGUGACUGGCCGAGUGGUUUGAAAACGCAGCUGUGUGUUGAAAUAAGAGUGGCGGGGCUGCGUCUCCAGCACCCCAGCCGCCUGCUAGCUCAUGCCCGAAAUAACAACACACAAAUUGUAUUCUUUUAAACACUGCUUGCCCAUUAUAUCUAGCCUCUUCUCGGCUAACUCUUGCACCUGGACUAGCCCAUUUCUAAUAAUGUGUGUAAGCACCCCAAGGUGCGCUUACGGGGAAGAUCCUAGCCUACGUCCAUCCUGGGUCGGAGCUGCCUGGGAGAGCGGAGCCUGGCGUGUCUGCUCCAGAGAGCAGAGCUGUCAAGUCUCUCUGGGAACAGAGCAGAGUCUGAGCUCACUUCCUCUUCCUCCCAGCAUCCUAUUCUGUUUACUCCUCCCACCUAUGUUUUAACCUAUCAGGGCCAAGGAGUUUCUUUAUUGCUUAACCAAUGAAAUCAACAGAUUGACAUAUGACACGUCCACAUCAGCUGUGCUUAGCCUCUCGAGUUCUCUUCUGGACGUGCGUGUGACCGGAAGCUUCGGUCACCACGGCAAAGUAAAUGAUUCACCGAUUCAUAAAUUUCCCUUCCGAUUCUCCCUCAGCUAAGAGCUUCACGAGGAUACUGUUAUCAAAGAAAACAUAAUUGUUUCUUUCCCUUUUGGUCCUUUAAAGGGUGCUUCAUGCAAUAUACGUGGGUUAAAAUUGAAUGUUAGGUGUGGUGGUGCACGCCUUUAAUAUCAGCACUCAGGAGGCAGAGGCAGGCAGACCUCAGAGAGUUUGAGUCCAGCCUGGUCUACAGAGUGAGCUCCAGGACAGCCAGGACUGGAUGAUGGAGAGACGGCUUGUGGGUAAAAGGACUUGUCACGUGAGGCUCAGAGUUUGAUACGGGGACCCACACAGGGGAAGAAGAGAACCGACCGCCGUGGCCAUAGGCACACCAUGGCACCUACCUCUGACACAUACAAUAAACAAAGUGCACAUUGCCGGAGAGGCGGGAGCUGAGACGCUGACACCCGGCUGGGCCACACCUUGCCCAGGACGGCUGUGAUGUGUACCUCUGGCUUUCAUUUAAACCUAAUUCUGGAGGAACUCGGGGACACUUGCAGAGUUGUGCCAGAAGGCUCUAUGUCCAAAGCCACAAUGUCAUGGAUGGGGGCACAAACAAGAGUGGAAAGGAGAAAGAAGGUACAGUGUGACCACACAGAUCCUGGACUGGGAAAACGUGUGCUCUGUGCACAGCAGGGUCAAGCGAGCUGUCCGGGAUGAUGUCCGAAGGUCCUGCAAAGGUAUUAGGUCACCUGCCUAAGAGGCCCAAGCUUUCUCGACUGCUGGUGUCUGCACAGUUCUAGGAACCAGCCUCAAAGACACAGAGGAACCAAUGUCCCACAGAGAAAAUGAGUGGCAGAAUCCUCUGUCUGGCCUGCUUCAGAGACUGCAGUAUCGCCUGCUAUUCUGGGACCGUGUCCUUGCCAGGCAUCUGCCAGGCCUGGAGCCUGGUGGCUCCUCUUUCAGACGUCCUGCGUCCCCACCACCUCCUUGGCAACCCUGCUGCUCCUCAGUGUGGAAACCCAUCUGUGCCACUCAGCAGAGCCGUCCCCUCCCUCUGGGGCUUCACACAUCCACACCCAGACUCCUCCUUUCCCCAGGUGAGCCCCACAGCUUCUCCCUCACAGGGCUCUUCCCCAGGCUUGAGGCUGUUCUUACUCAUUCUUCCAGACACUGAGGGACAUGCCAGCUUCCUCUGUCUCCAUGGUUGAUGAUGCCCUGUGGGGCCUGGGCCUUCACAGACUCAUCUCUGCCCUCCAUGAGCCCUCGAAGCCCUGGGGCUCUUGCUGACUACAGGACUAUCGGGGUGCUAGGCCAGGGGAAGAUGCCAAGGGCAGAGCACCCCUGCCUCAGCUUGCUGACUCCCUGUUUGAACUGGUGAGAGCUCUGACCUCUCAUUUGCUGCUUGUUUCUCAUGUGUCAAUAUUACCUCUCAUUGAGUGCUCCGUUUCUGUUUCAUUAUUCAUAAAAAUGAAUGUGAAGAGUAAUACAAUAUUCCACCUAAACUUUCCAGUAAAGGCAGCUCACACCUGGAACCCCCAAAGGGUGCUGACGGGUCUGUGUCAAGGCCUCUGAGAAAGGGCACCACCCACCUAUCCUCAUUGAGGUCAUUUCUGGGGUACCCCCCAUACCAAGGACUCUCAGGAUCCUGCCAACAGCCUCACGUCCAUCUCAGAGUUAAUGGUUUCUCUCAGGUCAGGCAAAGCCAGCCCUACCUCCUAGAAGAAUCUGCCUGGGAAGAUUCUACUGCCCAAACAGGUUCCGGGGAUACCCUCUUCCAUGUGUGUCCUAGUCCAGUUCCUGCCUGCUGCCCCUGCCAGGUGACAUACCAAGAGAGUUGUCCCUGUGUCUGCAUAGCCGAAGUCACUGUUAAUACUCCUGCCUCCUUCAGGAUGCUCAACCUUGGGGCAUUUCUAGGGCACCAUGGACCAAGAAGCCUCAGGCCAAGCAUUAAAUCCAGGGCGAUAAAAGCCCCACUCGUGGGCCUUCCCAGGCCAUCUUUAUCUGCAGUGAACUUGUGUCUGGAGACAUCAGCAGGCAGACAUUAGAAAAGAAGCAGCUUGCCUGAGGCAUUGAUACCCAGGGAGCUUCAUCUGUGGGACUCUGGUGACAUCCCACGGAAGGGCCAAUAUCCACGGACAAAGGGUCUUUCUAUGCCUCCUGAAGCAGCUUGCCUGAGGCAUUGGUACCCAGGGAGCUUCAUCUGUGGGACUCUGGUGACAUCCCACGGAAGAGCCAAUAGCCACUGACAAAGGGUCUUCCCAUGCCUCCUGAGGUCUCUGUUAGUCACGUCUGUGAGACCUGAUUGGUUCCUCUUCAUGCCUAGGUCUUCUGUGGCCACAUAAGUAAAACUGUGUUGGGGCUUGGAGGCAGGUUUGGAAGGCCCCGGACCCUUCAUUUGCUUUUGGGUCUCUCUUAGUUAUUCCCUGAGAAAAAUCAACCCCCACAGCAGAGGCACAGGGAGGUGAGGCAACCAGAGCUGAGUCCAUAGUUGCUGUUCUAAAGGAGGCCACGAGAAGAGACCAAGAAAAAGGAUCCUUUUUCAUGUGCCAUUAAAGGACAAACUGAAUGCAAUCAUGGAGACAUUGGAGGAAAAUAAUUGCAUUUAUGCACUUAUAUUUUUGAACAACAGAUCUUUAAUUGCCUAUAAAAGAAGAAGAAAUAAGGAACCGGCCUCUGGUUAAGAAGUAUCUCUCUGGAAGCUGGGCAGGAGUCCUAUUUGCUUCAGGACUUUAAAGAUAUGGUGUGGCUCAAUUUACCCAGAACGCCCAGGAAAUAUCUUUGAAACCUACAGCAAUGCAAGACCCUUUGUCCUUGAGUUUCCCAGGAUGAGAAGCUGGUGACAGAAUGUUCUCAUGGCUUCCUGCCUCGGUCUAAGCUCAGAUAAUCCACAAAGGCAUUGACGCAGUCUCUGGGCUGUGUCACGGGGAGGGUUAAAUAAUCCCACUGCUGUUUGUCAUUUGGCUUGAGCACCUGACUGAGGUAUCUGUUCUGGAAUGUUCCUAGACACUGGCAAAUGCCGAAGGAAUAAAGGCCAAGUCAGAAACAGAAAACAAACCGCAAAGGCUUGGUGCCCAGAGAAGAAGGAAACAGUCUACUGCAACAUGAAGGCAUGAGACCACCUCACCAGUGACCAAACUAUGAGAGAGCAAAGGGCCUGGAGAAAUCCUCCACAGGCAGGGGGAAUGCUGGAGUAAGGGGAGGGAGGGUCACAGCGUGACCUGUGCCACACCCUGGGCAUUAGGACUCUGGGCUGCAGGCGGGUGUCUUGAAGGAUGAGCAGAGGCAUUGGAAGCCCAAGCAGAGAUGCCUAGCCAGACUACGUGUGGCACAAGCAUUAGGACACCUCAGAGCAAUAUCCAGGGAGGUCCCACUCCACCCUGGAGACCACUGUUAAGAAACCAUAUGCCCAGAGGCACCCAGAGCUCAGAAACCUUGUUUGCUCCACGGGAAUCUAAGGUAUCAGGGUUCCUCCAGCCUGCUCAUUUCUGCAUGUGAAUGGAACUUCCUGGUGAAUCCCGGACCCUCCACUGAGAGGAGCAUUCUAAACAACCUCUGCUCUGUUUUAUGUUGUAUGACCCCCACUGGUUCCACAUUGGCCUGACCUUGGUCUGAGUCACUUCCUGAAAUCAGAUCUCCCGCUGUGCAAAAAGACAAACAGGUACCCAAAAGUCACCGCAAGACAUAAGCAGAACACAGGGUUUAGCAGCCAGUAGGUACUUAGAGAGGAAGCAAUAGUAAGGGGGCCA